rnacentral:misc_RNA from 1 species
UUAACUGAUUUAGUUAAUCGCUCAGACUGCAAUCUUCAGACAGAGUUCGAGGGUGUCUUCGGCGGGCGCGGGCCCGGGGGCGUGAGCCCCCCGGCGGCCAGUUAAGGCGGGCCCGCCGAAGCAACAAGGUAAAUAAACACGGGUGGGAGGUUGGACCCAGAGGGCCCUCACUCGGUAAUGAUCCUUCCGCAGGUUCACCUACGGAAA